rnacentral:rRNA from 1 species
UACGUAGGGUGCAAGCGUUGUCCGGAAUUAUUGGGCGUAAAGAGCUCGUAGGCGGUCUGUCACGUCGGCUGUGAAAUCCCGAGGCUCAACCUCGGGUCUGCAGUCGAUACGGGCAAACUAGAGUAUUGCAGGGGAGACUGGAAUUCCUGGUGUAGCGGUGAAAUGCGCAGAUAUCAGGAGGAACACCGGUGGCGAAGGCGGGUCUCUGGGAAGUAACUGACGCUGAGAAGCGAAAGCAUGGGUAGCAAACAGG